CUGAAAUCAGGACCUACUCCCUGUCUGCAUGGUCCCAGACUGCAUCCACUGGGUCUGGAGAUGGCAGGAGAGAUAGCUGAGACAUGAGUUGGGACAAGUCCAGUAGGGUUGGGAAUACAGGAUGGCUUGUGGGUGGAGCAUCUGGAGGUGGGCAGCACCAAGCAGGAGGGUUUGGGCUCCUAUCUCAGUGUCUGCACUGGUCAUUGACACUUUCCAGUAGACACAGGCUCCUCUGAGGGUGCGUGUAGCAUGUAGUAUCUAUGGUGCUGUGUUCCUCUUCCCCUUCUGCCUGCAGGCAAGAGAAGGAAAGAGGGAGCACGUAGGGAUCACUAAGGACAAUCCAGGCAGCCGACUCUGAGAGUCCAACUAACAGAUGUGCUAACCGGGCGUCCUGGUAAGUUUUAGAAAAUGCAGAUGCCACUAAAUUCUCCAGCUAUGACCUUUGUAGAACAGACCAGCAAGAAAUCUGCUUUCAGAGUCUUCUGGGGACAGCAGGAAUGAGGAAGAGGGGAGAGUAUCUCCUCUCCAGGUACCUGGUGAUGCUGGACCUCUCCGGCUGUGCCAGGAGCAUGCAUGAAAAGCAGAGUCCUUCACAGGCACGUAAAGGAUUGGUCAGCAGCCAGGAAACGUGGGUUCUAGAAUCUGACUUCAGCAACUGAGAUGUCUAAUGUGGAUCUACAUACCAGCUUUGGAUGCAUGGAUUCAGAUUGAACUUAGGGUAUCUUCCAUGCUAAGCAAAUGUUUGGCCACUGAAUACACCUCCAGCCAACAAGCACAUCCUGGAUAGAUGGAUGAGUAGAUGAGUAUGGAGUGGAUCCAAUACUAGACAGCAAACCCGAGUCCUCGUGUGUGAGCCUCCUCCAUUUCCUAAAGCCCUUGCCCUCAAGAGUACAUGGGCCUUGUAAUAGUCUUUCUUUUGGGGAGGGGAGGUGUUCGAGACAGGAUUUCUCUACAUAGCCUUGGCCACCCUAGAGCUUGUUCUGAAGACUAGACUGGCCUUGAACUCACAGAGACCUGCUUGGAAUUAAAGUGCUGGAAUUAAAGGCCUGCACCACCACCAUCACCUUGCUCGGCCUUAUAAUAUUCUUGCUCAGUCCAGUGACAAGGAAGUACCAGACCGCUCCAAAUGGUGGGACUCUCUCCAGAAUAACCCCUGCAGCUGAACGAGAACAUUGGUCAUGGCAGAACAGAGAAUGCCACGUGACAACAGCCCUGAUUAAAAUGGCAUGACAACUAAAUGACCACAGACAAGAGACAAACGGACAGAAAGUGCACUCUUGGGACAACUGCUGAAUACAGGACACACAGAUGAGUCAAUGGUAAUGUCGAUGUUGUAGUUGCAGUUACUGGCUUCAGUCACUGCCGCAAACAGCCUUGCCAAGCCUGUUAGCACAGCUCUCUGCAGGCAGAGGCAGGAGCAUAAGAGUUCAAGGACAACUUGGGCUACAUAGCAACAGCUGUCUAAAAAUUGCAUACGCACGUACAUACACACACACAAACACACAUUUUAGAAACUAUUUUAAGCACUAAAGUAUCCAAGGUGUAAAAUAUAUGACAUAUAAAUGUAUAUGAGUGUGAGAUACACAGAGAGAAUGAUUGAUACUUUAAAUAUGGCAAAAUGAUAAUGAUUGAUUAGCCUGAGUGAGAGCCAGCUUUUCUACUACUUGAAAUUAUUUUUAAAUUAUAUUAAAUUUAAAUAAGCUGCGUGUGAAUAUGUAACAAAAUUCAAAACGUAGAAGAGAGGUUGGGAUGUAGUUCAGUGGUAGAAUACUUGCCUUGUGUGUUGUUCAGGGCCAGCACUACAGUAAAACAAGCAUGAGCCUUAGACACUCCAAGGUAACCCUUGGUGCCUGGCUUUUGCAUCUCCUUGGUAUUCUCUUGUUCUUUCUUCUCCUUUUGUCCAAAGUCUUCCUCAGUCUAUCACCCAGGAGAGCAGUAGGGAAGGGGCAGAGGGCAGUGUCAAGAUUGAGUAGAACCCUGGGCUGGAGAGAUGGCUCAGUGGUUAAGAGCACUGACUACUCUUCCACAGGUCCUGAGUUCAAUUCCCAGCAACCACAUGGUGGCUCACAACCAUCUGUAAUGAGAUCCGAUGCCCUCUUCUGGUGUGUCUGAAGACAGCUCCAGUGUACGUAUAUAAAUAAAAUAAAUCUUUAAAAAAAAAUUGAGUAGAACCCAAAGAACAUGGCAAACACCUCCUGCCCCAGAGCCAGCUUCCUUGGGCUUGUUUGGCCUGAGAUGAGGGCCCAGGAAUAAAUUUUGCCCCUUUCAGGCAUAGUUAAACAGCAUUCACAUGGGCCCGGGCUAGGCUCAACUUCCUCCAGGAGGGGAAAAAGUAGUGAAUGUUGAGGAGACUCCUCACCAGGACUGAAUUUUAUGUAUUGGCCUCAGUUCCCAUCUAGGGUCACACAAACAAGGACCCUAAGCAAGAAAGAGGAGUAUGUUCCCCACACAAAAGGCAGGACAAGAGUUCUUCAUUGAACAUAAAUGGCUGUUGGGGAUUGGUUCUAAUGCUUUGUCUCAAUUUGGCUCCCAAAAUCACAUGUGAAUCUGCAUGUCCAGAUGCUGAGGAUCUGUGUCCCCAAUUGGUUUUUGAUUAAUCAAUAAAGAGCCAAUAGCCAAUGGGUGAAAGAGGCAGGACUUUUAGGAUUCCCAGGCAAAAACUGCAGAGGACAGAAGGAACAGAAUCACCAUGAUGUAGAAGCAGAGAGAUCAGGUUCAAGAGCUGCAGGAGAGAAAUGAUCCAAUGGCGGUGCAAAGGGAAAGUGGCCCCAUGGGAGGGCUGCCCAGAAGGAAACAGGGCAGCAAAGAUAAAAGACAGAUUUAGAAAACAUAACUCAGGAAUAUCAGAGGGGAGUGUGUGCUAGCCUCAGGGAGGUUUAAAAGUGCCCAAUCAUUGAGCUAGUCAAGGCAUAGCAAAAUAUAAAGGCUGCAUGUACAUGUCUUCUCAUUCUAGAAUCCAGGGCACUCUGGCGGGUGUCAAGAGGUGAGAUCACCUGCCAGGAGCUCAGAGCAGAUUAACAAUUCACCACUACAGAUGGCCACCUCCUUUCUAAGCUUCCAAGAGGCUGGAACCUUUCCCACUUACAAGCAGCAAGACAACUUAUGAGCCAGGUACUUCAGAGGAGACUGGCAGCUACUAAGCUAAGAGACAGCACAGACACUGAGGCCCAGAGAAGUUGCAGGGCUGGACAGAGCAGAGCUUUGGAAUCAGAGGCUGCUCUGGCUUCUGUUGCCAUGGGAAAGAAAUGGAAAGGAAUGUCAGAAUCAGCUGAAUAUUUUACUCUGCAUAGCUGAGUGUGCAGGCCUCCAUGAACGCUGAAUGUGGGUGAAUGGGUUGCUGAGAGACACGAGGGAAGGAAUGAAGAGUGGGUGUCUUGGUAGGUGGAUGGAAGGGCUGGAGAGAUGGCUCAGCGGUUAAGAGAACUGACUGCUCUUCCAGAGGUCCUGAGUUCAAAUCUCAGCAACCACAUGGUGGCUCACAACCAUCUGUAAUGAGAUCUGAUGCCCUCUUCUGAUAUUUCUGGGAAAAAAAAUGGAUGGAAGGGUAAAUGGGUAGAUGCAUGGGAGAUAUUUAGGUACAUGAAUAGAGGGAUGUGUGGGUAGUUGGGUGGGUGGAUAUAUGAAAGACUAUUAGAAGGGUACAAGGAAGAUGGGUGAAUGGGUGGUUAGAUAGUUAGGAGAAAAGUGGAUGGGUAGGUGGAUGACUAGGUAGUAUGGAUAAAUGGAUAGAUGUAUAGCACUCAUCUCUGAGUGAAGCUAGGCCAUGCAGUAUACUGUCAUAUCUUUGACUAAAUGAGAAUACUGAGAAUACUUAUUCAGUAAUUCAAGAUAGCAUAAGAGGAGGUCUAGAGUACAAUCUUAGAAUUCAGACUAGCUGAAUUCCUAUUCAAAUUCUUGUUUUAUGACUAUUUGUCUUAGUUAGGGUUUUACUGCUGUGAGCAAACACCAUGACCAAGUUAAAUCUUAGAAAGGACAUUUAAUUGGGGCUGGCUUACAGGUUCAGAGGUUCAGCCCAUUAUCAUCAAGGUGGGAACAUGGCAGGCAGGCAUGGUGCAGGCAGAGCUCAGAGUUCUGCAUCCUCAUCUGAAGGCUGCUAGUGGAAGACUGGCUUCUAAGCAGCUAGAAUGAGAGUCUUAAAGCCCACACUCACAGUGACACAGCUACUCCAACAAGGCCACACCUGCUUAUGGUGCCACUCCCUGGGCUAAGAAUGUAUAAACCAUCACACUAUUCAUUAUUUUUCUGUUGCUGUGGUAAAAUAUCAUGGCCAUAGGAAACCUUGUGAAGAAAGGGUUUAUUUUGGCUUACUGUUCCAGAGAAACAGAGUCCAGCAAGGCAGGGAAGAACAGCAUGGUGGCAGGAGCAUGAAGGCAGUCUUCAGUCAGGAGGCAGAGAAAUCACAGAAAAAAGCAGGGUGAGGCUAUGAAUUCUUAAUACACACACACACACACACACACACACACACACACACACACACACACACCAGUGCCCAGUGAUGUGCUUCUUCUAGAGGCUUUGUAAGCUCACUGAACAGCACUACCAACUGGGGACCAAGUAUUAAACACCAGAGUCUAUGGAGGAGAUUUUCCAUUCAAAUUGCCACAAUUACUCUAUAGCUGUGUGACCUUGUAAAAGUUACUAAACCAUCCUCAUGAGAAUAAGGUACCAACUCAAGAGGUGGCUAUAGAAUUGCAAGUGCUUAGUAACCAGAAAGAUUGAAAGUUACUAGUAAUAACUUCAUCUCAUGGUUGUUCCCUAUACAGUUUUCUUUGUUAAUAAUAGUAAUAUAACAAUGUUAACUUCCUCCUCUUAAGUUGCCACAACUCAAUAUAAAAGCCAGUGCUCUUAUAGUGGCCCUUAAGGCCUCGUUUCUUUAUUCCUCCAUCUUCUGCCUUUUCUCCUCCUCCUCCUCUUCCUGUCUGUCUGUCUCUCUGUCUGUCUCUGUCUCUGUCUCUCUGUCUCUCUCUGCCUGAACGUGAUAUACAUUGUUUUGACCCACGCCCUUGGACCCUUGGAGCCCACUCCCUGGCAGGCUUCUCCCCAGAGAAUCUCAUUUUCACACCUCAUUUUACUUUAUCACAAAGAUUUGUUAAUCUUUGCUUGAAUGUCUCCUUCAAGAAAGAAAGGCCUUCUUCCCCUCUAAAAUUCUGAAAUUGCACCAUCCAAUAUGUAAUAGCUAGCUUUAAUUGUCAAACUGAUGCAAUCUGUAAUCACCUGAGAAAGUAGUCUUAAUAAGAUCUACAUUGCAUUUACAUGAGGGCAUGUCUGUGGGGUAUGGUCUUGAUUAAGUUAAUUGAUGUGAGAAGAUCCAGCCCACUAUAAGCAGCACUGUUCCCUGGGAAAGGGGUCCUGGACUGUGUUAGAAUAGAGAAACUGAUCUGAGCACAGACAAACAAGCAAGUGAGUGUGUAUGAGCUCGUUCUGCGCUGCUCUUGACUAUGGAAAUGAUGAGAUUAGCUGCUUCAAGCUCCUUACACUGACUUCCCCAUAAUGAUGGCAUGGAAUUAUAAAAUAAAGUAAACCCAUUCUCUC